rnacentral:lncRNA from 1 species
UAAUUAUGUGUAUUUAUCUUUAUGUGUAUUCAUUAUAAAAAAAAUAAAAUAAAAAGUCUGAUGCAUACGGCACGCGCACGCACACACACAAAUACAUACUCAAAAAGUAUAUACUUUUUCUUCACAAAAAGAGCACAUACCUUUAGGCGAACUGGGGCGCAGCCUCAGACUUUCCUCUGAGUCUGACUGCUCCGGGAAAAGAUUCAAAGCUUCGAGAGUGUCGAAAAUGUAAAAAAUAAAGCUACCAAAAGAUUUUUGAAAGGUAAAGGUGAAUCUCGCGCGUGAUUGGACAGAAAGCGAGGCUACGUUUGUCUUUGGUCACGUGAUUUCUACAUUCCCCGGUGCCUCCGAGCAAAUGUUACUAAGUAACUUACAUACGAGUUGAAAGGAGCGGCGCGAGGACCGUCUGCUCUUUGAUGAAGCCGCAGCAAUGCUAAGCGUAGAGCAGAGAAACUUCAGCUAAAGCAUCGAUCUCAUCAGGCUGCUGUCGAUCUGAUACUAAUAUCAGCGUCUGUAUUGAUACUAUCGAUUUUAGGAUCGAUCCGCUCACACCUGUCGUGAAGGUUUCGCGCUGAAAUACCCGAGAAUGAGCAGAUGGCCUGUCAGUAAUGACCUGAAGCUGGACUCAUGAUACAGUCCUUCCAGAGAACUGACUUCACAGCUGUGCUUUACAUGCUGAGAGCCAAUGGAUCCAUGGCAAGAUCCCGCUGGGAGACCUGAGGAUCCUGUGUUUCAGGGAUGGGAUGAUCCUGUCUUCUCAGAACAGGAAUAUCUGGAUUUAUACACAGCGCUUUCUGAAUCCGCAGCCGAUCAGAGGAAGCAGGAGCAGGUGAAGAAUGAGGAAACAGCUGGAACACCUGCUGGACCAGAGCUGAAACCACCUGUCACUCACAACAACGGCGUGAAGGACGCUUGGAGCAUCACUUUAAUAGAUUCUGCACAAGGCAGUAACAGCAGAACUGCAUCGCUCUGCGAGUCAACAUCACAACUGCUAUCAGAAUACAGGCUCAAUCAUGACAAGUUCAGCUCGAGCGUGGUGUGGGCCCGUGUGGCCCCUGUGCACGAGUCUCUCCUGGAGUCCGCUGAGCUUCUCUUCCAUGUGUCCGUGCCCUGGCUGCCCGUGGAACUGCCGUACAGAAGCAGAUUAAACAGCACAGCCCAGGAGCUGAUGGAGGCGGUUCUGGUGACUCUAGAUCAUUCUUCCUCUGUCAGUGGACAAUACCUGAUGAAACUCUGCGACUCAGAGGAGUAUCUCAGAAGCGAUGAAAUCUUGGGAUUGUAUGAACGCAUCCAGGUGUAUCAGAAGUUUGCUCUGGAUGUUCCAGUGAGGAUGGUGCUCAAGGACUCCGCUGACAAAACACUGACGCGAGAUGAGGAAGACGACUGGCAGAUGUUUCAUUUUAAUCAAGUCCUCGCUUCUGCUUGUGCAGUCAGCACUAUGAGGACGUCUCUGCAGGAGAAGCUGAGCAGCUACAGCCAGGCUGUAAACAAGCUCUUGAGAAGCUGGGUUUGUGUUUCACUGAAAUGAAUCUGAAAGAAUGAAAUCAUGUGCAUGAUUGAAAUGCUUGUAUGAUCUGCGUGUCAUUGCAUGGCUUCCCUGAGCUCCACAGGACUGACAGGGUUUGUGUUUGAUAUGUCAGUGUGGUGUCGGUGGGAGGGAGGUUGCGGAGAGCGUUCAUGCCGUGUGUGAGCAGCUGUGUGGCGUCACUACAGUAGAUCUGGAGGAAGCCGUCGGCCGGAUCCAGCGCUUCGCUCCAGUCACACUGGUACAGCCUGAGCAACACACCUCAAGCGUUUCUGAAUGAGUGUUUAAUGAGAAAGAUCAAAUAUAAUGUUCUUUUCCCUAGACUCCGGUCGAAAUGUGCGACUGUGAAACCGGUGAGUCUUUAUACUAAAGUGAAGUCUUUAGUAUGUCAUAAGCAGUUUGAGCUAUACGAGCCGUGUAGUUUCCAGUGAUCUGCAUGCAUUGUGAGUGUAAAGUCUGCAUGUUUCAGCUGUAGUCAUGCUCCAUCACGCUCUGCUGAAGCUGCUCCACAUUUUCUUCACAAACUUUGAUUUGGACUUCAGAGGACAGGAGGACCAUCCGAAUCCACCAGCAGCAGACGUCAAGCACUCCAGCUGCAUGCUGCAGGUCAACCUGACGUGUCUCUACAGACUGCUGCCCGGCUGGAUAAACAGGUACGGCCAGAUGUUUAACACUCCAGUGUCGUCACCGCAGAGAAACCCAGUCUGUGAGUGCAGAACGUACUGUGUGGGAAAACCUGACGUAGCCCUCAAACUCAUUCAAAACAAUCCUGGAUAUCAGACGUGAGAACCAAAGAAUCUCUAUUUGUGUCUCACAGGGUUUGAGAGUCAUAUGUGUGUGUGUGUGUGUGUGUGUGUGUGUGUGUGUGCUACAGUUACGAUCACUUGAGUGUGAGCUGCUCGCUCACAUACUGCGGCAGGAAUCUGACUGAACCUGUGCUGUCUGAGAACAUCAGCACGUCCCUGCAACUCAGCUGCAAGAUCCAGUGCAACCGUCUGUAAGAGCAGCUUCAUCUACAGUUGAUUCUGUGCUACUGCAUGAUUAAUAUGUGCAUCCGUACUGUAUGCUUGCGGUUCAAAGGCUUCGUGUAUUUUAAUGAGGGUAUUCCAUGGGUUUGAGUUCAAAAGUAAACAGGUUAAUAUAUGACCGAGUUCUCAUUAAUGAAUACCUUCACCAUAUGAUGCACUCUGGGUGUUAAUGUGCUGGAAAACUCUUACACUGCGAGGUUAACAUUAUUCAUCAGGAUGAAUACAAUUAAGACUCCGUUCUUUUAUAGUCCAUUUAUCUAGUGAACUCCUUGUGCUC